UGGGGAAUUUUGGACAAUGGGGGAAACCCUGAUCCAGCCAUCCCGCGUGUGCGAUGAAGGCCUUCGGGUUGUAAAGCACUUUUGGCAGGAAAGAAACGUCGCGGGUUAAUACCCCGCGAAACUGACGGUACCUGCAGAAUAAGCACCGGCUAACUACGUGCCAGCAGCCGCGGUAAUACGUAGGGUGCAAGCGUUAAUCGGAAUUACUGGGCGUAAAGCGUGCGUAGGCGGUUCGGAAAGAAAGAUGUGAAAUCCCAGAGCUUAACUUUGGAACUGCAUUUUUAACUACCGGGCUAGAGUGUGUCAGAGGGAGGUGGAAUUCCGCGUGUAGCAGUGAAAUGCGUAGAUAUGCGGAGGAACACCGAUGGCGAAGGCAGCCUCCUGGGAUAACACUGACGCUCAUGCACGAAAGCGUGGGGGGCAAACAGGAUUAGAUACCCUGGUAGUCCACGCCCUAAACGAUGUCAACUAGCUGUUGGGGCCUUCGGGCCUUGGUAGCGCAGCUAACGCGUGAAGUUGACCGCCUGGGGAGUACGGUCGCAAGAUUAAAAACUUAAAUGAAUUGACGGGGUCAUAGCUGUUUCCU
rnacentral:rRNA from 1 species